UACGGAGGGCGCAAGCGUUAUCCGGAUUCACUGGGCUUAAAGCGCGCGUAGGCGGGAAUGUAAGUCAGUGGUGAAAUCUCCGUGCUUAACACGGAAACUGCCAUUGAUACUAUGUUUCUUGAAUUUUCCGGAGGUCAGCGGAAUAUGUCAUGUAGCGGUGAAAUGCUUAGAUAUGACAUAGAACACCAAUUGCGAAGGCAGCUGACUGCAGGGACAUUGACGCUGAGGCACGAAAGCGUGGGGAGCGAACAGG
rnacentral:rRNA from 1 species